rnacentral:rRNA from 1 species
ACAUACGACCAUAGGGUGUGGAGAACAGGGCUUCCCGUCCGCUCAGCCGUACUUAAGCCACACGCCGGGAGGUAGUAGUUGGGUGGUGACCACCAGCGAAUCCCUCCUGUUGUAUGUU